rnacentral:snoRNA from 1 species
UUUGGAUGAGCCCUUUAGAUGACGAGUCUGAAUCUGCUAGCGUGCGGUUUCCUCACGAAAGCACCUAUGACGAGUCUUUCAAAUUUUUACCAUUCAUGCAUAUCUGACA